GAUUUCUUUUUCUCAUUUGUCUCUCAUAGUUGAGGUUACCUAUGAUGAAAAUUACAGGCCUCUCUCAUCUUUUUAAGUGGGAGAACUUGCACAGUUGUUGGCUGACCAAAUACUUUUUUGCCCACUGUAGGUGGAGACACUGACCGUGACGUGUAGGUGGAGACACUGACCGUGACGUUGUAGGUGGAGACACUGACCUUGAGGUUGUAGGUGGAGACACUGACCGUGACGUUGUAGGUGGAGACACUGACCGUGAUGUUGUAGGUGGAGACACUGACCUUGAGGUUGUAGGUGGAGACACUGACCGUGAUGUUGUAGGUGGAGACACUGACCUUGAGGUUGUAGGUGGAGACACUGACCGUGAUGUUGUAGGUGGAGACACUGACCUUGAGGUUGUAGGUGGAGACACUGACCGUGAUGUUGUAGGUGGAGGCACUGACCUUGAGGUUGUAGGUGGAGACACUGACCGUGACGUUGUAGGUGGAGACACUGACCUUCAGGUUGUAGGUGGAGACACUGACCUUCAGGUUGUAGGUGGUGACCAGCAGCUGGAUGUUCUUGGGGUUUCCGUGCUGCAGCGUCAGGUCAAAAGUGAGCGGCGGCGUCGGAGCGUGGGGCGGUGCUCUCGUUGGCGUGGGACAGCCUCAUGUGCGACACCAUCUUCUCCACGUCGUUGAAGGUGGCGCGGCAGAACGGGCAGGACAGACCGUGGAUCAGCAUGUGUUCAGCAGCGUGUCGCUCGGCAGGUAACGGUUUACAGUACAGACAUUUACUGGUGAAGUUAUGGAUCUUCAUGAUGUAGUUGGCCACGGCAGGAACCUUCUGCGCCUGGUGCUCCUUGGCGAAGUGGGCGGAGUACACGUUGUCGGGGAACAGCUCGUUGCAGAUGGUGCAGAUCUUCCACUUCUGGGUGACGGCGGCUCCGAGCAGAGCGCCGCGUUUGGCCGUUACCGAGGCGACGGUGGUGGCAGCCGCCUGCACGCGGGAGCCCAGGGGGUUGGACUUGAGGGCGGAGCUUCCCAGAGCGAUGGCGCCUCGGAGGCCGGCUCCGCUCUGCAGCUGUUUGGCGGCGGCCGAUUGGUGCGGCACGAACACGUGGGCGUUCCCCGGGAGCCCGCCCCUCAACGCCUGGCCGCCCACGCUGACCCCGCCCCUCGCCGUCAGCCCGCCCCCGUCAGCACCUUCAGGUCUUUGAGUCCGGACAGCAGCGUGGGUUUAGGCGCGGUGGGCGCCCCCGUCCUGCCGGGCAGCGCUGAGGUCAGCCCUGAGGACAGAGAGCGCGUGGAGGCGAGCACCGCCCCCUUCGGGCCCAUCCCGAUCACCGUCUUCUCACUCAGAGCUUUGGGCGGAGCCAAGACCAUGGCUUUAGGGCGCGGCACGAUCACGCUCGUGUGGCCGAUCAUCGCCGUCACCUGGGAGGAGAGGAGGAGGGGCUUAAUAUACGAGGAGGAGGAGCUUUAGUAUCAUUGGACCAAAGGAAACACUGAUGAAGCUCCCAUUCUCUAACCCUCUAAUCCCAAUAAAAUAAUGAUCAGAAAUAUAAAUCUGUCGAACCUCCAACCCCUCCUGAACCGAGCAAAUGUUCUCCAGCUUUACCCAAAUCUAAAAGCUUCUGGAAAAAGUGUCAAAAUAGCGACUAAAACGGGGAUGAAAAUGUGACAAAAACGUAACACAAGGAAGAAGAUCCAUUUAGAUGAGUUUUGUAGGUCUUCGCUUUCAGGCUCUGGC
rnacentral:lncRNA from 1 species